rnacentral:rRNA from 1 species
CACGGGGGGAGCAAGCGUUGUUCGGAAUUACUGGGCGUAAAGGGCGCGUAGGCGGCCCGCUAAGUCGAACGUGAAAUCCCCGAGCUCAACUCGGGAACUGCGUCCGAUACUGGCGGGCUUGAAUCCGGGAGAGGGAUGCGGAAUUCCAGGUGUAGCGGUGAAAUGCGUAGAUAUCUGGAGGAACACCGGUGGCGAAGGCGGCAUCCUGGACCGGCAUUGACGCUGAGGCGCGAAAGCUAGGGGAGCAAACGGG